rnacentral:rRNA from 1 species
CCUACGUGAGGCAGCAGUAGGGAAUCUUCCACAAUGGGCGAAAGCCUGAUGGAGCAACGCCUCGUGGGUGAAGAAGGUCUUCGGAUCGUAAAACCCUGUUGUUAGAGAAGAAAGUGCGUGAGAGUAACUGUUCACGUUUCGACGGUAUCUAACCAGAAAGCCACGGCUAACUACGUGCCAGCAGCCGCGGUAAUACGUAGGUGGCAAGCGUUAUCCGGAUUUAUUGGGCGGAAAGGGAACGCAGGCGGUCUUUUAAGUCUGAUGUGAAAGCCUUCGGCUUAACCGGAGUAGUGCAUUGGAAACUGGGAGACUUGAGUGCAGAAGAGGAGAGUGGAACUCCAUGUGUAGCGGUGAAAUGCGUAGAUAUAUGGAAGAACACCAGUGGCGAAGGCGGCUCUCUGGUCUGUAACUGACGCUGAGGUUCGAAAGCGUGGGUAGCAAACAGGAUUAGAUACCCUUGUAGUC